rnacentral:lncRNA from 1 species
AUGUAUUAAAAGGGACACCUUACACAUAGAGUCAAGCACAAUCUCUAAUCCUCAAUAUCAUUAUUACAUGACAUGACUACAUAAGACAUUACAUUACAAUUUCAUCAUGUCCACACGCUAUCUAUUACAAACACAUGACUUCAUUACUCUUGCGGACCUCCUGGUCUACCCUGUACCUGCAAACCUGGGGGUUAAGGGAAAAAGGGGUGAGCUACAAGAGCCCAGUGAGCAGAAUAAUAAAACAUUUAUAUUAAAAGUUUAUGGAAU